rnacentral:rRNA from 1 species
UGUCGGCGACCGGCGCACGGGUGAGUAACGCGUAUCCAACCUGCCCAUAACUAAGGGAUAACCCAGCGAAAGUUGGACUAAUACCUUAUGUAUCGUUUGAUUUCAUGAGAUUACGAAUAAAGAUUUAUCGGUUAUGGAUGGGGAUGCGUCUGAUUAGCUUGUUGGCGGGGUAACGGCUCACCAAGGCAACGAUCAGUAGGGGUUCUGAGAGGAAGGUCCCCCACAUUGGAACUGAGACACGGUCCAAACUCCUACGGGAGGCAGCAGUA